rnacentral:tRNA from 1 species
GCGGAUAGCUCAGUUGGUUAGAGCUUGGUGUUGAUAACACCAAGGAUGCAGGUUUGAUCCCCAUAUGGGACAGAUGCA